GUUUAAAAACUGCUCCAAAAUUUAAAACCUAAGAUUAUUCUCUGCUUGGCAAAAUGGCUACACUACCAGCCUUCUGUAGUGACCACCAUAAUGUACUCCAAUGGCAAAAGGUGAUUCGAAUGCAGUGAUUUAAGGAUCACAUUUUGAAAAAUACUGGUGUCCUCAAUAGUAAGUAUAAUAAUAAAUUUAAAAAAGCAAACACUGUAUAUAUGAAAUUUCAUCAAGUCUAUAGGUAAAGGUAGAUAAUUCAAGACAUGAUUUUUUGAGUGUUAUUUGUGCAGACAUCACAGGAGGUGACACACUAUGAAUGGAAAUGAACUGCGGAGGGAAUAAAGUGGAGAUGCAUGUUGGUGAUGAUGAUGUGAUAGCAUAUAAUACCUACCAUUUAUUGAAUUGUGACUGUAUUCUAGGCACUGUGAAAUGGCUUCACUUAUAGGUAUGUCAUUUAAUUCUUACGAUCCUGAGAGGUAGCACCUCAAAAUGAAGGACGGAGUGAAAUUAUUUAGCAGUUGCAAUCAACAGAGUAAAUGUAAAAUAAGAAAGUUAAAAAAGCAAAAAGUCAAUCAGAGGCAAAGAGAUUAAUAAUCUCUAUAACUAUAUAAAUAUCUAUAAAUAUACAUAUAUACUCACUUUCAGAAGUCUAAUCACUAAUCAUUCAUGUGCAUGCUAUAUUUAAAGCUUAGAAUUAAGCCAGGGAUGGUUAAGGGAAGAAAUUGUCAAAAAGUAAAUACAAAAAGAACCACAGCAGGGUAAACUAGUUUUCCAAAUAUAGACUCUUAGGAGUGAAAGGAGGAGUGGAGUUUCCCCAGCCAAGUUUCACUUUGGAGGAGAACUCCCAAUACAGUGUAACCACCAGCUUUGGCAACUUUGGCAGGGCUGUUUAUCAUAGGCAGCAAAGGGGAGGGUGGAGCCCUUUUUCUGACAAUGAAAACUCUUCCCAGAGUUCAGUGAGAACAACGUGAGCUCAUUCCUUAAAAGAUCUCAAAAUUCAACAGAAUUGUAAGUCAUGAAAAACAUAGUAUUAACUGUAGUACUUUAUUUUAAGACUGAAGUUACAUAUAAUGUAUUCUUUUUU